rnacentral:rRNA from 1 species
GACGAACGCUGGCGGCGUGCCUAAUACAUGCAAGUUGAGCGAUGAAGAUUGGUGCUUGCACCAAUUUGAAGAGCAGCGAACGGGUGAGUAACGCGUGGGGAAUCUGCCUUUGAGCGGGGGACAACAUUUGGAAACGAAUGCUAAUACCGCAUAACAACUUUAAACAUAAGUUUUAAGUUUGAAAGAUGCAAUUGCAUCACUCAAAGAUGAUCCCGCGUUGUAUUAGCUAGUUGGUGAGGUAAAGGCUCACCAAGGCGAUGAUACAUAGCCGACCUGCGAGGGUGAUCGGCCACAUUGGGACUGAGACACGGCCCAAACUCCUACGGGAGGCAGCAGUAGGGAAUCUUCGGCAAUGGACGAAAGUCUGACCGAGCAACGCAGCGUUAGUGAAGGAGGUUUUCGGAUCGUAAAACUCUGUUGGUAGAGAAGAACGUUGGUGAGAGUGGAAAGCUCAUCAAGUGACGGUAACUACCCAGAAAGGAACGGCUAACUACGUG